CCUUUUCCCCGCCUCCAAGACCGUGGCUCUCAGGAGGAGUCAUCUAGCUGCUGCCAGGAAGUGAAUGAGCAAAUUGGCUUUGCAAUUCUGGUCUUAACUAUGUAGCCUUGGCUACCCUGGAGCUAACUAUUUAGACAAGACUGGCUUUGAACUCAAAGAUGUCUGCCCGUCUGCCCGCUUCUGCUUCCCAAGUGCUGAGAUUUAAAGGACCCUGCUUCCUCAAGCUCCAGAAGACUUCAGGAUCAACCACCUUGUCUCCGGUUCCAGAGAAAGGAGGCUUCCCUACAGUAGCUGUGUUCAACCCUACUGGAUUAGACUCUGACCUUGGCCUACAAGCUCCUUAAUGUGACUCAACUGGUCCGUUUUAAAGCUUGCUGGUUGUGUGUACCACCUGGGACCAACUCAGAACUACUGCUGACAACUUCUCUGGUGACGCUGUCAAGUAAACUCACUUAACCAUUUACUAACUGCCCUGACUCUGAUGUUGCCACAACCCCCUACCUUUCUCAUAUCACCCUCUUUGGCGUGGCAGGCUGUUUCAAGGUAUCUGGGACACACUCCGUAGGAACGCUAAGUUCCUUAGUGUGUCAUAAAACUAUAAUUCUUGAUAUCUCAUCUCAACCCCAAUGCCCUACUGCUAAAAAUACCUUGAUUCUUUGUGGCACUCAAGUUUACCAUAGUUUUCCUGCUUAUUGGUCAGGAGUUUGCAUGCUGGUUCUCCUCUUCCAUGAGCUGGGAGAUAAAUGAAAAGGAGCCCCUACCAAUCCCGGUCGUGGACUCAAUAGCUGCCCAGACUCAAAUCUUGCCCCUCUUGGCUGUUGCAGGAAUCACGGCAGCUGUCUGGACAGGGACAGCAGGACUAGCCACCUCACUAACUUUGUAUUAUCAGCUUUCUUCCCAGUUCAUCCAGGACCUCCAGCAAGUGGCUCAGACAAUACUAACUCUAAGGACAGAACGACUCACUGGCAGCAGUAGUACUUCAAAAUCAACGUGGAUUGGAUCUCCUCACUGCUAAAGAAGAUCUUCCUCCAGGAGGAAUGCUGUUUUUAUGUCAACCAGUCGGGUAUAGUAAAAGACAAAAUCCAAUAACUCCAGACAUAUCUACAAAAGUGAAGGAAACCGCUUGAGGCCUCUAGCUCUUGGGCCUUUGAGAACCCCAUGUGGAAAUGGAUUUUGCCCUUCCUCACAUCUCUUCUCCUCGUCUUUCUGCUUUUGCUUUUUGCAACCUGCUUAUUAACUUCUCUAUAUUCUUCCAAUAACAAAAGCAAAAAUUCUCUAACCAAACCAUUAAUCAGUUACUCUUACAGGAUUAUCAACCUCUACACACAGAACCAGAUGACAAUGACCUUCCAAUUGACCCUGAUGUUGGGUACCAGCUAUACCCUGAGAAUGACAAUGCCCCUAAUCAGCAGGAUGUAACUUGAAGAGCAAAGGUCGCCCCUAUGCUCGCCCCACCAUCACCUCCUUCCUAGCUCCUCAGUUUUUUUUAAUAAAACAAAAAGGGAGGAAUGUUGGGAUCUGUAAGCAGGCAUUUUUAUGGCUAGCCCCAAGGGACCUGACAAAGAGGAUAUCAGGCAUCUGUGAGGCCACCUGCAGACCACCUGAAAUUAUCUGUGCAUACUCUGGGUCACCUUAUAAGAGAACCUGCAUCCCCCCUUUCUUGCCCUACCCAGAGAUGGUCUCUGUGACCUCUUCCCUUAAUAAACCUCCCAUGUGGAACCA